rnacentral:lncRNA from 1 species
CCGGCGGCUGGGUUUCAGGGGCGCCCAGGUGAACCCUGGCCUAGUUCCCAGCUACCCCAGAAGGGUCUUAGCGCUCACGUCUCACGCCCAGACUCGAAUGUCAGUGUAAGAAUCAGGUGUCUGCAAAGACUAAUCGAAACAUAUUUACCUUUUGUGGGUACAGCAAUGACUUUGGUCAUUUGUUUUCCAGGAAAAAAAUUUUAAAAAGCAUUUUCAAAACCUGUCUCAAGGAGACCUGAACCUAUUUUGGUCAACUGUUAUGCCACAAAAAAACGGGAGAUGCCGCCGGGCGCGGUGGCUCACGCCUGUAAUCCCAGCACCUUUGGGAGGCUGAGGCGGUGGAUCAUGAGGUCAGGAGAUCGAGACCAUCCUGGCUAACACGGUGAAACCCUGUCUCUACUAAAAAAUACAAAAAUUAGCCGGGCGUGGUGGCAGGCGCCUGUAGUCCCAGCUACUCGGGAGGGUGAGGCCGGAGAAUGGCGUG